AGUGAACGCUGGCGGUAGGCCUAACACAUGCAAGUCGAACGGCAGCACAGAGGAGCUUGCUCCUUGGGUGGCGAGUGGCGGACGGGUGAGGAAUACGUCGGAAUCUACUCUGUCGUGGGGGAUAACGUAGGGAAACUUACGCUAAUACCGCAUACGACCUACGGGUGAAAGCAGGGGAUCUUCGGACCUUGCGCGAGUGAAUGAGCCGAUGUCGGAUUAGCUAGUUGGCGGGGUAAAGGCCCACAAAGGCGACGACCCGUAGAUGGUCUGAGGGUAUGAUCCACCAGCCGGGAACUGAGACACGGUCCAGACCCCUACGUGAGGCAGCAGUGGGGAAUAUUGGACAAUGGGCGCAAGCCUGAUCCAGCCAUACCGCGUGGGUGAAGAAUGCCUUCGGGUUGGAAAGCCCUUUUGUUGGGGAAGAAAUCCAUCUGGUUAAUACCCGGGUGGGAUGACGUUACCCAAAGAAUAAGCACCGGCUAACUUCGUGCCAGCCGCCGCCGUAA
rnacentral:rRNA from 1 species